CAAGGCUGGGUCCACAGCUGGGGCCAGGAGCAAAGCCCUGGUCGAGUGCCAGGAGGGUGAGGGAGCUGGGUGGUGCUCCUUCCCUACCCGUGCUGCUGUAGGUUGGUCUGGGUUGCAGCCACGCCCCCCUGAACAGUCUUCUGUACUCCCUUAAUGGGGCACGCCUCACAGUUUGGGAACUUCUGGUGGACAUGUUUCACUGUGAACACAGGAGUAAACUUUAAAUGUUUUCAGGGUCUAAGACAUGAUGUGUCAAGAAGCUGUAACAAAUGCUAGGUGGGAAGGCAAAAGUAACUGAUUAUCACUAAUCAAAAUUGAUAUUGUCCCUUUUUAACCCACGUGGCUUGUCAAAGCUCAGGGCGCUGGGGGUGCUCCAGCUGGGAAUAGAAAUUGAUGGAGUCUGGUAUGUUCAAUGCACUCUUGUUCAUGUACAAGGAAUAUACAAAGUCCUGUUUCCUCUGAAUGCAGGAGAAACCACAAACAAAAGAAGCAGUUUCUUAGGUAAUAGCCCAAGCCUCUGUAACUAGCAGGUCCAGAAUCUCUCUCUAUCACUGUGCUCAUCAGCUACUGCUUGGCUUUCUUGCUUUUUAUAUCUGCUUCUCUGUUCUUGUCUGAUCUCAGUUUCUAUGUGUUCUGCUUCCCUCACCCCACAUUUACUUAGCAAAAGUCCUCCACCCACACAGUCCAAGCUCCUGGGCAGGUUCAUAGCCCCCUUUUCUUAUAGGUGGGAGAUUUUUGAUUAACUCAUCCUGACAGUUAUGCAAACUGCCUGUAGAAAAACAAGUUGAAUGCAAGUUGUUGAUAUCACAAUUUUCUCCAAUUUCCUCUGCCUUUUUUGCUGGGAAAAGUUAAAAUGAUAACACGUGGUUGGUAUAAUGUUCCAAAUGUUGGCCAUGUAACCAGUCUUUUUAAUUUAGGUUAAAUCUCUUAAGUUGGAUUCCUGUGAGGAGGAGUUUUACUCUGUGGAUUUCAUAUUUCUAAGCAUAUGUUUAAUAGGAUAUUUCCGUGACAGUGUUUAAUACAUAUUGGCAUAAACAAGAACAUGGAAACGAAUCCAGUGUCUAGGAGAACUUUUAAAAUGAUAUAUUUAUUACUUCAUAGCUUAUACCUGUGCAAAAUUCAUCAAGACGGGGGUCUUACUUGUUUUCAACUGAAAAUGAAACAGUAAUAGCAUCUGUUUUUCACUGGUAGCUUCUGUGUUAACUUUUAUAAGUGCUAACAGUUAAACCAGUCCCUUUAUAAUUAACAGCUAUAGAUAUGCUGUUAAAAAUUUAAUUUAAAAAAUCAGUCACUGUUUACAUAAAUUCACUUAGCACAUAUGUGGCUUAGAUGGAAAACAGUGCUACAUUUCUGUUAGCAAUGUGUCUGUUUUAUCUGGUUGCUAUAUAGGAUUUAUGCUGCUGUCAUCAAUGAAGUACAAUGGUAUGCUUGAAAAUCUGCUUCUGUGCAGUUUAAUCUAUCAAAUCAUACAAUGGUAGUUAGAAAGUUGCAUUUUUCCAGAGUGUAAUAAUGAAACAUUCAUUUCUAAAUCAUGACAUUAAAGUAAGCAACAAAGUUGCAUUCACAUUUUUAGCAACCCCCCCAUCCCCUCAACUCCACCUUCGAAAGUGAUUGUCAAAUACUUCACAGCAGCAGAAAAUGUUGGUUGUGUGGCAUUUCUGUAGCCUCAGAUGUGAUCCAUUGAUAAGAUUACAUGGAGUUUUACAUAUGAAGUAGGAUAUAAACCCCUCAGCUCUACAGUCUAGGAAUUGUGCUUAGUGUCCACGUGUAUUAGAAUUAUUGACAUCCGCUUUGAAUUUUGUGACACAUAACAAUAGUGACUGUUAUUAAGGAAAUAUUCUUAAAUCAACUUCAAAAUUUGGAUCACUUGGUCCCACUUGUUUUGGUUUUGUAUUAUGAGCUAAUCCUAAAACUACAAAAGUAAAUAAUGAAUGUUCCAUAUUAUCACAUUAUUUUGCAGCAGAUUUUUUGCUUAGUUUUAAAUGUCUUGUUUUAAAGAGUUACAAGUUUUGUAGUGUACCAAAUAUGCAUGCAAAUCAUCAGCUUGUUCCAUUCUCUGAUGCCAUUUCUCCAGCUCAAGGAAAAUUAGCAUAAGAACUUUGAAUUCUGAUAAGAGCUGCUGACAGAAUUCCAGAUUCACCAGCCACUUCAGUUUUGACAGUAAAAGUGUCUUAAAGUCCACCCACACCGAAGACACACAUUCACCUUAAAAAGGUUAUGCUUACCACACAAUGAUUGGAAACCAUCAUGCAUUGCAGUGACUUUCAGAAAUCUCACAUCAAGUAUAAAAUUUGAAACUAAACAAUAAAACUCAUCAGUUGUAAGGCAAUGUUUGUGACCUGUAAGUGAAAGCCCAUCCUACAGCACAGAAUGUACAGUUUUCCUCACAUGCAGUGCUUGUCUUUACAUGUCAUCUUUAUGCCUGUUGUUCAGGAGCGCCUAUAAGCCCCAGCUGAGAUUGAGGCCAUUGUACAAGCAUGUAGUGAGAAACAGUACCUGCCCUGGAGAGCUGACCAUCAAAGGUGUGUCUACACAGCCUGCAGCAGUGAACCUCCCAACCCGGGGCUCACCUUUGUGCUCUGAAAAUGGACACACACCCCUAGGCUUCAGAGCCCACACCAGACCUACAUAUUGCUGUCUACACUACCAUUUUUAGCGCACUAGUGCUAGUCGUAGUCUGUGGAUCCACGUUGGGAGGCUCAUUGCCAUGGGCUCUGCAGAUAUACCCCUAAAUGGACAGGAGAUACCAAAAAAAGGUGAGAGCGGAAAGUGGCACAGAGGUUAUCUCUAUGCUAAGGGGAAUAAAAGCUGGGUUUUCACAACAUGGUUGCUAACACAUUGUAAAAUCCUAGUGUAGACAGGGUUUUACAAGGUAUUAACUAUUGUGUUGUAAAAACCCACUUUUAUUUCUGGCAUAGAUGUAUCCAAAGAGGUUAAGUGAUUUGCCCAAGAUUACACAGCAUUUUACAGGGCUAUCUGGGAUUAGAUAUGGUCUGGGGGGUGUCAAUGAAUGUUGAUAUAGGGUUGUGUUUCUGAUAAAGUGGGCCUUGUACUACUAUGCAAGCUUUUCUGUCACUUCUCUUACUGGCUGCCGCUUCUGGUUUCUCUCUUGCUGAACCUUUAACAGUGUCCCUAUUCAGGUGGUCUUGGACAUCUGCUAGAUUUCCCCUUUCUUCCUCUCUCUGAGACAAACCUCAAAUCUCCCUCCUACCUGCUCUCUAAUCCGGCCAUGACAUCCACUUAAAAAUGAGCACUAAUCGAAAUCUACAUUCAUCUGAGGGCGAUUCAACAAAUAAACAGCAGUGCAGUUCCCA